CCAAGAGAGCGCGAAACCGUUAGGAGGGAAGUGCAGGGCAGCGAGCGGAAGGCCCUCGGUGAAAUUCAGCCGUCUGCCGGUUUCCGAUUGGUGGGCAGCCGGCGGCGGUGCACUUUUCGCCGGGGCACGUCAGUGGCGAUCGUCUCCGUCCCUUGAGGCGGCAGGGGGUGUCUCCUCGGAGAUCAGGUGACCGGGACGGCCUUCGGGCUGUUUCGGAGCGUAUACUUUGUCGUCGUGGGCGCGGAGGCGAUCGAGGAGUGGGUUCGUUCCGUAGGCGUCCAUUCGCCCGGAGCUAAGGCAGGUGCGGGCCAGACUGUCUGGCCGGGCGGCUCGUUCUCCGUGAGUGUCGAGCGAGUGCGGCUCCGUCCUCGUGGCGGGCGGCUCGUGCGGUGCGAUCGGCGAUCGAUGUCCGUCUCGCCCGCGCCUAGGUGACUGGCGUGGAGUCGUUGCCGUGCGU
rnacentral:sRNA from 1 species